rnacentral:rRNA from 1 species
GGAGUUUGGUCCGUGUCUCAGUACCAAUGUGGGGGACCUUCCUCUCAGAACCCCUACUGAUCGUCGGCUAGGUGGGCCGUUACCCCGCCUACAACCUAAUCAGACGCAUCCCCAUCCUAUAGCGGUGAACCUUUACUUCAUUUCAGAGGCCAUCUAUGAAGAACAUAGGGUAUUAAUCCGACUUUCGCCGGGCUAUCCCCUACUAUAGGGAAGGUUGGAUACGCGUUACUCACCCGUGCGCCGGUCGCCAUCAAAAUCAGCAAGCUGACUUUAUGCUGCCCCUCGACUUGCAUGUGUUAAGCCUGUAGCUAGCGUUCAUC